AUUGAACGCUGGCGGCAGGCCUAACACAUGCAAGUCGAGCGGCAGCGGAAAGUAGCUGCUACUUUGCCGGCGAGCGGCGGACGGGUGAGUAAUGUCUGGGAAACUGCGUGAUGGAGGGGGAUAACUACUGGAAACGGCAGCUAAUACCGCAUGACCUCGAAAGAGCAAAGUGGGGGAUCUUCGGACCUCACGCCAUCGGGUGUGCCCAGAUGGGAUUAGCUAGUAGGUGAGGUAAUGGCUCACCUAGGCGACGAUCCCUAGCUGGUCUGAGAGGAUGACCAGCCACACUGGAACUGAGACACGGUCCAGACUCCUACGGGAGGCAGCAGUGGGGAAUAUUGCACAAUGGGCGCAAGCCUGAUGCAGCCAUGCCGCGUGUGUGAAGAAGGCCUUAGGGUUGUAAAGCACUUUCAGCGAGGAGGAAGGCAUCAUACUUAAUACGUGUGGUGAUUGACGUUACUCGCAGAAGAAGCACCGGCUAACUCCGUGCCAGCAGCCGCGGUAAUACGGAGGGUGCAAGCGUUAAUCGGAAUUACUGGGCGUAAAGCGCACGCAGGCGGUUUGUUAAGUCAGAUGUGAAAUCCCCGCGCUUAACGUGGGAACUGCAUUUGAAACUGGCAAGCUAGAGUCUUGUAGAGGGGGGUAGAAUUCCAGGUGUAGCGGUGAAAUGCGUAGAGAUCUGGAGGAAUACCGGUGGCGAAGGCGGCCCCCUGGACAAAGACUGACGCUCAGGUGCGAAAGCGUGGGGAGCAAACAGG
rnacentral:rRNA from 1 species